AAAGGCCCCUUCGGGGGUGCUCGAGUGGCGAACGGGUGAGUAACACGUGGGUGAUCUGCCUCGUACUCUGGGAUAAGCCUGGGAAACUGGGUCUAAUACUGGAUAGGACCGCACUUUAGUGUGUGUGGUGGAAAGUUUUUUCGGUACGAGAUGAGCCCGCGGCCUAUCAGCUUGUUGGUGGGGUAAUGGCCUACCAAGGCGUCGACGGGUAGCCGGCCUGAGAGGGUGGACGGCCACAUUGGGACUGAGAUACGGCCCAGACUCCUACGGGAGGCAGCAGUGGGGAAUAUUGCACAAUGGGCGCAAGCCUGAUGCAGCGACGCCGCGUGAGGGAUGACGGCCUUCGGGUUGUAAACCUCUUUCGACAGGGACGAAGCUUUUUGUGACGGUACCUGUAUAAGAAGCACCGGCUAACUACGUGCCAGCAGCCGCGGUAAUACGUAGGGUGCGAGCGUUGUCCGGAAUUACUGGGCGUAAAGAGCUCGUAGGUGGUUUGUCGCGUCGUCUGUGAAAUUCCGGGGCUUAACUCCGGGCGUGCAGGCGAUACGGGCAUAACUUGAGUGCUGUAGGGGAGACUGGAAUUCCUGGUGUAGCGGUGGAAUGCGCAGAUAUCAGGAGGAACACCGAUGGCGAAGGCAGGUCUCUGGGCAGUAACUGACGCUGAGGAGCGAAAGCAUGGGGAGCGAACAGGAUUAGAUACCCUGGUAGUCCAUGCCGUAAACGGUGGGCGCUAGGUGUGAGGGUCUUCCACGACUUUCGUGCCGUAGCUAACGCAUUAAGCGCCCCGCCUGGGGAGUACGGCCGCAAGGCUAAAACUCAAAGGAAUUGACGGGGGCCCGCACAAGCGGCGGAGCAUGUGGAUUAAUUCGAUGCAACGCGAAGAACCUUACCUGGG
rnacentral:rRNA from 1 species